CAAGGUCUACUGAUGUCUAUAAUUUGAAGGAUGUUAGUCUUAUUGAUAGUUUUAUGGUAUUGUGUACAGGUGCUAUAAAUCUGAAAUGGCCUUGUGUAAACGUAUUUUACUUUUAUUUAACAAUCACAAUAACUAGGGUAAAAUAUUUGCUCACAGGUACCUUUUACUUUUUAGGUAUGUAGUAUCAUCUUAUAUCAAUGAUCUCGAAUCCUGACGUAAGCAAUCUGACAAAGCAUCUAUCAUUCUGUCUUCUUACACGUUCUAAAUAUACACCACAAGUUACUAUUACGACAUACAAAAAUGGUCCUCUGCGAACUGCAUCGAUGGAUUAUAGAAAAAUUAUGAAUAGGAGAAUAUUGAAAUAUUGGCAACGCGGUAGGGUCAUUGGAUGGCACAUAACUUUAAAAUAUUUUAUAGUUUUGGCAUUUUCAUAGCACAUAGCACCCUAUAUACAGGGUUAUCCAAAUUAUGUGUCCACCAUUGGUAACUUCGUUAUUAGCAAAAAUACAAACUUGUUUAAAUUA